GUCUCGGAUAGCUUAACUGGUAGAGUACUUGGCGCGUAACCGAGAGAUCUGGGUUCGAUUCCCAGUCUGGGCU
rnacentral:tRNA from 1 species